CAGUAGCCGCGGGAACACGUAGGGUGCAAGCGUUAAUCGGAAUUACUGGGCGUAAAGCGUGCGCAGGCGGUCCGUUAAGACAGAUGUGAAAUCCCCGGGCUUAGCCUGGGAACUGCAUUUGUGACUGGCGGGCUAGAGUAUGGCAGAGGGGGGUAGAAUUCCACGUGUAGCAGUGAAAUGCGUAGAGAUGUGGAGGAAUACCGAUGGCGAAGGCAGCCCCCUGGGCCAAUACUGACGCUCAUGCACGAAAGCGUGGGGAGCAAACAGGAUUAGAUACCCGCGUAGUCCCUGUCUCUUAUAC
rnacentral:rRNA from 1 species